CUUGUUAUAUUUGCCAGUUGGUGCGAAACUGGUUUGUUUGGAAAAAAUGGCUGCCGCCAUGAUGGUGCCUUUUUCACAUCUUCUGCAAGUUUAUGUGACGACCUGUUAAAAGUUUAACAUUGACACGCGGUGGACUUCAAUAUGUAUGAUCUACUUAUGCUUCCACAAUGUAAAGGCAACAAUCACUGGGUUUUGCUGGUUGCAAGUGUUAUGUCCAGGACUGUAACCAUUUACGACUCGUUGAGUGGUAACAACAAGGCCUUGUUCGAUUUGUUUCGCCAGUUCAUGUGUCAACGAGCGCAAGUUGUGAAAGAUGGCUUGGAAAAAUUCAGUUCAGAGUUCAAAGCGCCACCUUGCAACAAACAGCGCCAUGGAAACAGCUGUGGAGUGUUUGCAUUGAUGACUGCCAAAUGUUUGGUCAUGAAAAAGCAUCCCACAAUGUUGUGACAGGCCCAUGAUUCAGUUUAUCGAGACUAGUCGUGAGACGCAGACUUCUGAUUCAUGGAGUGCGACAAACAUGUCUGUGCGACUCGAUCACACCACUGUAAAGCCCGGCACGGCAUUAAAAUGGAUAUUAUCAAUAUGUGUUGUUGCUCGAAAAUAUGUUUUUGUAGCAGGUAGUGCUUUGGGCUCGAUUAAUCUGAGAACUCAACAAAAUAUUAAUAAAAUCCUUCAGUGCCUUUUAGUUCUGAAAACAGAA